AUAAAGGUGGCAUAAGAUCACUAUUGGAACUUCUGGGUGCUCUCAGUAGUUCUACUUGCCACCUAACACUUUACUUUUGAUCCAAUGUUUUGGUAACAGCUAUCAAGAUGUUUUGACAUUCUAGCAAACCACCAUGAUCAUAAUGGUUGACAACUUAAAUCCAUAUAUGAUUAAACUUGACAUUUUCAGGUUCUCUUGAAGGUAGGUGCAUCAUGUGCAAAAGCUAAUAUCAUUUUCUGACAUUCUAUUUCAAAUAAUAUUCAGCACCAUAAGCUGCUAAUUAAUGAACUAAAUUGCAACUUUACAUGUCAAAACCUCAGCAGCACGCUUUAAAACUUGCAAAAACAUGUAAGCGUGUAUGCCCGUACCAGUAAAGAAACAUAAUUAUGGUCUUUUGCUUUAUGUCUUACUGUUUCCCUCAACUUCACACAGUGGUUGUACUUCUAAUGGAUGAGGGACCAAAGUUCUAAUUCGAAGUUGACUACAACAUGUUAU
rnacentral:misc_RNA from 1 species